CAGAGCCGGGACCGAGCGAGCCGGUGAGCGACCGAGGUAAAGGUAUCGCGCUUUAGUCAGAGGCCACCAAAGUUGGGUUUCAUUUUGUAGUAAAGUACCCUAUGAUCAUCUUUUGUACAUGAUGAUAAAUGAUGCAAAGAAAAGAAUGUAAAAUUUUAUUAUGAGCAAAUGUGAAAGAAAUGAUGAAAUGAUGCAAUGAAAUAUAAGGAAUUGUAAAUGUACAAGUUGGAUGUAAUGUAUAUGAUCUAAAUUGAAU
rnacentral:lncRNA from 1 species